UACGUAGGGGGCUAGCGUUGUCCGGAAUCAUUGGGCGUAAAGCGCGUGUAGGCGGUCCGGUAAGUCCGCUGUGAAAGCCAGGGGCUCAACCCUUGGAUGCCGGUGGAUACUGUCGGGCUUGAGUACGGAAGAGGCGAGUGGAAUUCCUGGUGGUAGCGGUGAAAUGCGCAGAUAUCAAGGAGGAACACCAAUUGCGAAGGCAGCUCGCUGGGACGUUACUGACGCUGAGACGCGAAAGCGUGGGGAGCAAACAGG
rnacentral:rRNA from 1 species